AAAAUUGAACACUGGAAGAACAGUGUUUCUUUCAAUGUUUCAUUUUUGGAAUAUUCCCAAAAAGAAACUUGAGCAUUCAUAUUUAGGAUUUAAUGCGAAAAAUUAUUUUGGAAGUUUUAUCUAGUGCUGCAGUUAAAAUAACAUUUU
ensembl:ncRNA C02B4.14 ncRNA